rnacentral:lncRNA from 1 species
GUUUCUUGGUUUCUUCGUACCGUCCCCAUCAGCCUGCAUCCGAUGGCUGGAGUGGAUGCCACUGCAGCCCCUGGUGUCUGCUCCGCUCCUUGACUCGUGUGAAGUGAACAGAGGUGUGAUAGGCGUGAAGGCACACUGACUCCAUCACAGUGUGGGCUCUGCAUUUUAACCGUGUGUCCACUCAGUGUUUAGUGAUGGUCCCCUAUAACCUCAAGAGGGAGGAAGGAAAGGACUGUCAACCAAAGCUAAGCUAAGCAAAGCAAAAUGAUCACCAAAGGUUACUUGUGGUAGAGACACUCUGCCUACCAGGGACUCCAUUUGUUGUUUCCCAGGCCCCUUGAUUCAUUGAGGUCUUGUCUUUGUGGCUAAUGAGAUUGGGGUGAAAGGGCUGGCUACCGGAACUGAUUCUCCAGUCUUUUGUUCCUUAUCCUAGCAUCUUGUAGUGCUCAAGGUGGUGGGGCCUCAGGCAGCUGUAGAGACUGGGACAGCAGAGUCCCUCUGCCUGGUUCAGUGGGCCAGACUGUUAGAAAGGAGAACAAAAAAACAUAACCCAAAAACCUGUGUUUUGGAUUCGAUCGAAUCCAUUGGCUUUUUGGUUAAUUGGUUACUAUAGCCCAGCAGACACUGCAUGGGAGAACAGCCCACUUAGCCAGCACAAUUGCACAGCCAAUAGAGCACAGUUAGUAUUUAUUGUAUUUGUGUGGAGGUCAUAGGACAACUUGCAGGAACUGGUUCUCCCCUUCUGCCCUGUGGAUACUGUGGAUCAGCCUCGGACCAUCGGGCAUGGCACCUUUAUCCACUGAGCCGACUCACUGGCCCUAGAAAACAUUUUCUAAGAAGUCUCAGUUCAGCAGCUUUUCAUUGUUUGAUGCCAUCUCCUAUUCCAAAGAAGUUGGAUUCCUUGUCCCUGUCCCGUCUGAGUUGAUA